AAAACGGUCCUUUUCAGGACCAUUAAAAGUUAAAAAUAAAUUUUAU
rfam:Trachymyrmex zeteki contig14300, whole genome shotgun sequence.